rnacentral:rRNA from 1 species
AUGCGGCUCACGGUGGCCGAGCUGCGCCCUACUGUGGGCGAGCUCCAGUACUGCAUUGAGCCUUGGCAGAGGCGGUCACUUUCUAAAGCAGCACGGACUGUGCUCAUUAACUCGUCCCUAUCUAGCCUGCUCCUAUUCAUUAUGAGCUUCUACAACCUUCCUGAGACGCUGCAUCAUGAGAUUGCUAGAGUCCAGGGACGCUUCUUCUGGGCUGGCGAGGGCGAUAAGCAGAAGUACCACAUGGUUUGGUGGACUGAGAUCUGUAAGCCUCGUGAUCAGGGUGGCCUCGGGAUCAUGUCCUCCAAACGCAUGAACAUUGCUCUGCUGACUAGGUGGCUCUGGCAGAUUACGGACCGAGAGGGUGGCUUGUGGCUCCGCAUCAUUCAGCAGAAAUAG